AAAUUUUAGGGUGCUUUCAGCAUUACAACAAUACUUUCAUCUGUGAAUACCCACUUUCUAAGCCCACCAUGAACUACGAAGGUUAAUUAAUAUGUAAGGACACCAAUGAACAGACACUUUUCAAUUAUCCUACAUCAUAUACAUGGGUGGUCAAACUCACUGGAUGGUUUAUCAACACUCCCAUGCUCACGAACAGCCUUGCGCCAGGAAUUUUGCCCUGAAGUGACAUUGCAGUCUAUUGUCUCCUUUCUUUUUACAACCCUGGCAGCCAUGCAGGAUAGAAGCUGAUCACUUGUACUUGACAGCAAAUAAUAAUGUCUUGGACAAGUCAAAGAAUUUCCUCCGGUCUUACAGAGAAAUGACAGUUGAUAAAAGAAUGGUGGACACAAAGUAAAAGUGCUCUUCAACAUUUUGUUGAAGAUUUCAGUCUGAUUUGGAAUUCAUCUUGCAAUAUUUCUGUAUUUGUAUAUUUGGAUAUAAGCGACAAAUUUUCAACUUAUUGACUAAACAGUUUUGCAUUUGAUAUUGCCAAUGCUAUCUAUUAUUAUUAUUUCCCUCCAAGAUAACAUGUCAAGUCUUUAUUGUACCCCUUAAGCUCUGUUAUACCAGAAAAAUCUUGUAAUGAAAUCAUUUAUUUUUUUUUUCUUGUUAAAUUA